ensembl:lincRNA 1110002O04Rik RIKEN cDNA 1110002O04 gene
AGGGAAGCUAAGCUCAGACAGCAGCAGCUGCUGCGGAAUAGUUCACCGGCUGCAGAUUGAUACCGAUGACAAUUGACUAUCAGCCCUGUGACCUGCAACUCUGCAGAUUGUGACACCAUCUCCAUUCUGCAUGGGUGUGAGUGGAGCCUGGGACUGCAGGCCACGCCUCCAGAGAGUAGACUGCCCACCUGGGUGCACCAGAAGUGCUGAGCACUGGACCCUGAAGGCUUCCUCUGUAAGCUGGCACUGAUACCCACCUCCCAGGGGCUGUGAAGGUUAGCUGAACUGUUCCCAGCAUUGCUUCCAACGAGUAGAUCCAGAAUUCUGGAGCUCAUGUUGCUUGCACCACAAAGGCAAAUGAUUAGAGACAAUCAUGAGGCUUUCCAUUAGGCUUUGUUCAGAGAGCUGGCCAUCAGAGAAGGCAGAACAUGAUGGAAAAUGCUUCACAUCUCACUUCCAGCCAGAAGAUUGUAUGGAGUCACAGGGACAGAGACAGCCAUUCCAAAGUUCAGGAUUGCCCCACUCUGGUCAGGUGACGUGAUUCUUAAAAUAAACUUUUCCUCCCC